rnacentral:rRNA from 1 species
CGUUCCCGGGCCUUGUACACACCGCCCGUCACACCACGAAAGUUGGUAACACCCGAAGCCGGUGGCCCAACCCUUGUGGAGGGAGCCGUCGAAGGUGGGAUCAGCGAUUGGGGUG